rnacentral:miRNA from 1 species
UUAAUGCUACUCAUGUUAGGGG